rnacentral:rRNA from 1 species
GGUUAAGCGACUAAGCGUACACGGUGGAUGCCCUGGCAGUCAGAGGCGAUGAAGGACGUGCUAAUCUGCGAUAAGCGUCGGUAAGGUGAUAUGAACCGUUAUAACCGGCGAUUUCCGAAUGGGGAAACCCAGUGUGUUUCGACACACUAUCAUUAACUGAAUCCAUAGGUUAAUGAGGCGAACCGGGGGAACUGAAACAUCUAAGUACCCCGAGGAAAAGAAAUCAACCGAGAUUCCCCCAGUAGCGGCGAGCGAACGGGGAGCAGCCCAGAGCCUGAAUCAGUGUGUGUGUUAGUGGAAGCGUCUGGAAAGGCGCGCGAUACAGGGUGACAGCCCCGUACACAAAAAUGCACAUGCUGUGAGCUCGAUGAGUAGGGCGGGACACGUGGUAUCCUGUCUGAAUAUGGGGGGACCAUCCUCCAAGGCUAAAUACUCCUGACUGACCGAUAGUGAACCAGUACCGUGAGGGAAAGGCGAAAAGAACCCCGGCGAGGGGAGUGAAAAAGAACCUGAAACCGUGUACGUACAAGCAGUGGGAGCACGCUUCGGCGUGUGACUGCGUACCUUUUGUAUAAUGGGUCAGCGACUUAUAUUCUGUAGCAAGGUUAACCGAAUAGGGGAGCCGAAGGGAAACCGAGUCUUAACUGGGCGUUAAGUUGCAGGGUAUAGACCCGAAACCCGGUGAUCUAGCCAUGGGCAGGUUGAAGGUUGGGUAACACUAACUGGAGGACCGAACCGACUAAUGUUGAAAAAUUAGCGGAUGACUUGUGGCUGGGGGUGAAAGGCCAAUCAAACCGGGAGAUAGCUGGUUCUCCCCGAAAGCUAUUUAGGUAGCGCCUCGUGAAUUCAUCUCCGGGGGUAGAGCACUGUUUCGGCAAGGGGGUCAUCCCGACUUACCAACCCGAUGCAAACUGCGAAUACCGGAGAAUGUUAUCACGGGAGACACACGGCGGGUGCUAACGUCCGUCGUGAAGAGGGAAACAACCCAGACCGCCAGCUAAGGUCCCAAAGUCAUGGUUAAGUGGGAAACGAUGUGGGAAGGCCCAGACAGCCAGGAUGUUGGCUUAGAAGCAGCCAUCAUUUAAAGAAAGCGUAAUAGCUCACUGGUCGAGUCGGCCUGCGCGGAAGAUGUAACGGGGCUAAACCAUGCACCGAAGCUGCGGCAGCGACGCUUAUGCGUUGUUGGGUAGGGGAGCGUUCUGUAAGCCUGUGAAGGUGUGCUGUGAGGCAUGCUGGAGGUAUCAGAAGUGCGAAUGCUGACAUAAGUAACGAUAAAGCGGGUGAAAAGCCCGCUCGCCGGAAGACCAAGGGUUCCUGUCCAACGUUAAUCGGGGCAGGGUGAGUCGACCCCUAAGGCGAGGCCGAAAGGCGUAGUCGAUGGGAAACAGGUUAAUAUUCCUGUACUUGGUGUUACUGCGAAGGGGGGACGGAGAAGGCUAUGUUGGCCGGGCGACGGUUGUCCCGGUUUAAGCGUGUAGGCUGGUUUUCCAGGCAAAUCCGGAAAAUCAAGGCUGAGGCGUGAUGACGAGGCACUACGGUGCUGAAGCAACAAAUGCCCUGCUUCCAGGAAAAGCCUCUAAGCAUCAGGUAACAUCAAAUCGUACCCCAAACCGACACAGGUGGUCAGGUAGAGAAUACCAAGGCGCUUGAGAGAACUCGGGUGAAGGAACUAGGCAAAAUGGUGCCGUAACUUCGGGAGAAGGCACGCUGAUAUGUAGGUGAAGUCCCUCGCGGAUGGAGCUGAAAUCAGUCGAAGAUACCAGCUGGCUGCAACUGUUUAUUAAAAACACAGCACUGUGCAAACACGAAAGUGGACGUAUACGGUGUGACGCCUGCCCGGUGCCGGAAGGUUAAUUGAUGGGGUUAGCCGCAAGGCGAAGCUCUUGAUCGAAGCCCCGGUAAACGGCGGCCGUAACUAUAACGGUCCUAAGGUAGCGAAAUUCCUUGUCGGGUAAGUUCCGACCUGCACGAAUGGCGUAAUGAUGGCCAGGCUGUCUCCACCCGAGACUCAGUGAAAUUGAACUCGCUGUGAAGAUGCAGUGUACCCGCGGCAAGACGGAAAGACCCCGUGAACCUUUACUAUAGCUUGACACUGAACAUUGAGCCUUGAUGUGUAGGAUAGGUGGGAGGCUUAGAAGUGUGGACGCCAGUCUGCAUGGAGCCGACCUUGAAAUACCACCCUUUAAUGUUUGAUGUUCUAACGUUGACCCGUAAUCCGGGUUGCGGACAGUGUCUGGUGGGUAGUUUGACUGGGGCGGUCUCCUCCUAAAGAGUAACGGAGGAGCACGAAGGUUGGCUAAUCCUGGUCGGACAUCAGGAGGUUAGUGCAAUGGCAUAAGCCAGCUUGACUGCGAGCGUGACGGCGCGAGCAGGUGCGAAAGCAGGUCAUAGUGAUCCGGUGGUUCUGAAUGGAAGGGCCAUCGCUCAACGGAUAAAAGGUACUCCGGGGAUAACAGGCUGAUACCGCCCAAGAGUUCAUAUCGACGGCGGUGUUUGGCACCUCGAUGUCGGCUCAUCACAUCCUGGGGCUGAAGUAGGUCCCAAGGGUAUGGCUGUUCGCCAUUUAAAGUGGUACGCGAGCUGGGUUUAGAACGUCGUGAGACAGUUCGGUCCCUAUCUGCCGUGGGCGCUGGAGAACUGAGGGGGGCUGCUCCUAGUACGAGAGGACCGGAGUGGACGCAUCACUGGUGUUCGGGUUGUCAUGCCAAUGGCACUGCCCGGUAGCUAAAUGCGGAAGAGAUAAGUGCUGAAAGCAUCUAAGCACGAAACUUGCCCCGAGAUGAGUUCUCCCUGACUCCUUGAGAGUCCUGAAGGAACGUUGAAGACGACGACGUUGAUAGGCCGGGUGUGUAAGCGCAGCGAUGCGUUGAGCUAACCGGUACUAAUGAACCGUGAGGCUUAACCUU